UUUCCGUAGGUGAACCUGCGGAAGGAUCAUUAAAAAAUAUCACAUUUUGUAUGUGAUUUAAUAAUCAUCCUACCCUUUGUGAAUUUGUUUUGUUUUGAAAUUUAUGUUGUCUAUCCCUGGAUAUGAAAGAAAAGUCGUAAGAUUUUUUUUUCAUUCUAGGGAAUAGGCUUUCAUAGACAUUUUUUUAAAUUAAACUUUUUGUAUUCAUUUGUCUAAAAUUUAUUUUUAAUAAUUUAAAAACAACUUUUGACAAUGGAUCUCUUGGUUCUCGCAACGAUGAAGAACGCAGCAAAAUGCGAUAAGUAAUGUGAAUUGCAGAAUACGUGAAUCAUCAAAUUUUCGAACGCAUAUUGCACUUUUUUAGUUUACUAAAUAAGUAUGUCUGUUUGAGUAUCAGUAAAAUAUUCUCAUAAAAACUAUUGUUUUUAUGGUUAUGAGUGUUUUACCAGCGAUAACAAGUUGUUUCACUUUAAAUUGAUUUUUUAAUAAGCCAAUUUGGUUUUAUUUUUAAAAUUGGAUAGAAUUUUCCCGUAAAAAGGAAUAAACUUUUCAGUUUUAAAGUUAAAACUUAAAUUGACCUACAAAAAAGGAAAUUUAAUUAUAAAACUGACUUGAUCUCAAAUCAGAUAAGAGUACCCGCUGAACUUAAGCAUAUCAAUAAGCGGAGGAAAAGAAACUAACAAGGAUUCCCUUAGUAACGGCGAGUGAAGCGGGAAGAGCUCAAAUUUGAAAUCUUCAAGGUCCUACCUUGACGAAUUGUAGUUUAAAGAAGUGUUUUCUGUUAGUGGAGUGGCAAAAGUUCUUUGGAAUAGGACAUCAUAGAGGGUGAGAAUCCCGUAUUUGGUCAUUCCUUCUAGCUUUGUGAUACACUUUCAAAGAGUCGGAUUGUUUGGGAAUGCAGUCCAAAAUGGGUGGUAAAUUUCAUCUAAAGCUAAAUAUUGGCGAGAGACCGAUAGCGAACAAGUACCGUGAGGGAAAGAUGAAAAGAACUUUGAAAAGAGAGUUAAACAGUACGUGAAAUUGUCAAAAGGGAAGCGGUUUGACACCAGUGUUGUAUUUCCGAAAAUCAGUUAUAGAUGUUUUGUUUCUGAGGAGUGAUGACUUCAUCGGCUUCCUUCUCUCUUCACGAAACUUUGUAAUGCACUUUUCGGUUAACAAGUCAACAUCAAUUUCUUUUGUUGUAAAAGAGUAUUCGGAAGGUGGCUUUCUUUUCGGAGAAAGUGUUUAUAGCCCUAUACUUCUACAAUCGGAGAGAUUGAGGUCUGCAGCGUAGAUCCUUCGGGGUUAGAUACACUUGUGCUAAGUUAUAGCUUUUCAUAGACAACUUGUUGACUAUGUUUAGUCUUGUAGCUUACUCGCUUGUGCUAUUUUACCUACGCUUAGGAUGUUG
rnacentral:misc_RNA from 1 species